rnacentral:rRNA from 1 species
CAACAGGGAUUGCCCUAGUAACGGCGAGUGAAGCGGCAACAGCUCAAAUUUGAAAUCUGGCUCUUUCAGGGUCCGAGUUGUAAUUUGCAGAGGGCGCUUUGGCGUUGGCAGCGGUCCAAGUUCUUUGGAACAGGACGUCACAGAGGGUGAGAAUCCCGUACGUGGUCGCUAGCCUUCGCCGUGUAAAGCCCCUUCGACGAGUCGAGUUGUUUGGGAAUGCAGCUCUAAAUGGGAGGUAAAUUUCUUCUAAAGCUAAAUACUGGCCAGAGACCGAUAGCGCACAAGUAGAGUGAUCGAAAGAUGAAAAGCACUUUGGAAAGAGAGUCAAAUAGCACGUGAAAUUGUUGAAAGGGAAGCGCUUGCAGCCAGACUUGCCUGUAGUUGCUUAUCUGGACUUUUGUCCGGUGCACUCUUCUGCGGGCAGGCCAGCAUCAGUUUGGGCGGUUGGAUAAAGGUCUCUGUCAUGUACCUCCUUUCGGGGAGGCCUUAUAGGGGAGACGACAUGCAACCAGCCUGGGCUGAGGUCCGCGCAUCUGCUAGGAUGCUGGCGUAAUGGCUGUAAGCGGCCCGUCUUGAAACACGGACCAAGGAGUCUAACAUCUAUGCGAGUGUUUGGGUGUCAAGCCCAGACGCGUAAUGAAAGUGAACGGAGGUGGGAACCCUUUGGGUGCACCAUCGACCGAUCCUGAUGUCUUCGGAUGGAUUUGAGUAAGAGCAUGGCUGUUGGGACCCGAAAGAUGGUGAACUAUGCUUGAAUAGGGUGAAGCCAGAGGAAACUCUGGUGGAGGCUCGCAGCGGUUCUGACGUGCAAAUCGAUCGUCAAAUUUGGGCAUAGGGGCGAAAGACUAAUCGAACUAUCUAGUAGCUGGUUCCUGCGA